rnacentral:rRNA from 1 species
UACGUAGGGUGCGAGCGUUGUCCGGAAUUACUGGGCGUAAAGAGCUCGUAGGUGGUUUGUCGCGUUGUUCGUGAAAACCGGGGGCUUAACCCUCGGCGUGCGGGCGAUACGGGCAGACUUGAGUACUGCAGGGAGACUGGAAUUCCUGGUGUAGCGGUGAAAUGCGCAGAUAUCAGGAGGAACACCGAUGGCGAAGGCAGGUCUCUGGGCCACUACUGACGCUGAGAAGCGAAAGCAUGGGAGCGAACAGG